rnacentral:lncRNA from 1 species
GAUCAAGGAUCGGAUCAAGGAGGCUUGGAACCAAUUCAAGAGUUGAAGACCAGUUGAUCGAUUGACGUGCAUGUGCUUGUAAUACGACCUAACUAGAAUCCAUGAUCAUCAUCUAUUUAAAGUUUAGCUUUAAUUAUUGCUGCGAUUAUAACUGCCUGCAAUGUGCCAUUUGCAUGUGAUGUGAAUGUGAGUUGGAUAGAUAGGUUUACAUGUGAUGUAGCAAACCCAAUUGAGACCUAAAUCAAAACCUCCUCAAUCAAGUCGAGAGUGAACCGACAUGAGCAAGUCAUAUUAGAUUAAUUGAUCUAAUUGGUGUCUAGAAAAGCAUGAAAGGUGGUUACUUAAUUAGGACCUUACUCUCUGAGUAAGGGGAGCCUCCCACCUGCUUACCUAGCCAAUUGUUCGAUUACCUCUUAUGAAGAGCUCAAGUUGCAAACACUAAGACCUGAUUAACCAAUAUUAAGUCAAUAGGUCUUCCACUGUAGUAGAGCUGCUAAGGCCUUUCUGAUGUUGAUUUGUCUUGGCUGGACACAGUGGUCAAGUUGCAUCGGGAGGCUGGACCUCUCUAUAGACAUGAGAUGUUGUAGGGUAAAUAUGGGGUUGGGCACUAAUAACUAUUAGGUGAGGACCCAAUGACGACUUUAUUCCUACGGUUAUACGGUGGGUCUGACUUAACUAAGAAAUGGGACCAAUAACUGUUAGGUGAGGUUUUCAUAGCUUAGAGACC